AACGAACGCUGGCGGCAGGCCUAACACAUGCAAGUCGAGCGAAGCCUUCGGGCUUAGCGGCGGACGGGUGAGUAACGCGUGGGAACGUGCCCUUUGCUACGGAAUAGCCCCGGGAAACUGGGAGUAAUACCGUAUGUGCCCUUCGGGGGAAAGAUUUAUCGGCAAAGGAUCGGCCCGCGUUGGAUUAGGUAGUUGGUGGGGUAAUGGCCUACCAAGCCGACGAUUCAUAGCUGGUUUGAGAGGAUGAUCAGCCACACUGGGACUGAGACACGGCCCAGACUCCUACGGGAGGCAGCAGUGGGGAAUCUUAGACAAUGGGCGGAAGCCUGAUCUAGCCAUGCCGCGUGAUCGAUGAAGGCCUUAGGGUUGUAAAGAUCUUUCAGGUGGGAAGAUAAUGACUGUACCACCAGAAGAAGCCCCGGCUAACUCCGUGCCAGCCGCCGCGGUAAAAC
rnacentral:rRNA from 1 species